rnacentral:lncRNA from 10 species
GCCUUCCGCGGUCGCUGGGGGGAAGUGGUUAGGAGGAAGCACGGGCAGUGGAGGGGACUGCUGGAGGGUCCCAUCUGGGAAAGCAGGCACGGAUGCGGGGACAUUUCCGCCCGUCACCCUGGCAAAGCGCUCGCAGGGCUGGAGGGACAGAGUUCUCAGAUCCAAGUAGAGAAAACCGGGAACGGUUCCGGCUCUGGGGACUGACAUUCAUCGCGGCAGUUUCUGGUGGCAAAACAGAGGAAACAAAGGAAUGAUGAAAUGAACUGAGCUGCCUUCAUGCCCCGGAUGAAUGUUCAGCCAUUAGAAAAGAGUGAAUCCCAGCUGGGAUUUGGGGUUCCACGGUGUACUAGAAAAGCAAAACAAAGAGAAGCGCCUACUAGAUGCCAUCUUGGAAAACAAAAGCAAACGUGUGUGUGUGUGUGUGUGUGUGUGUGUGUGAUGUUACAUGGGCAUGGGGAAAUUACGGAAGUAAAUACUAAUGCUUGUGGCCGGGCGCGUGGCUGACGCCUGUAAUCCCAGCACUUUGGGAGGCCGAGGCGGACGGAUCACGAGGUCAGGAGAUCGAGACCACGGUGAAACCCCGUCUCUACUAAAAAUACAAAAAGUUAGCCGGGCGUAGUGACGGGCGCCUGUAGUCCCAGCUACACGGGAGGCUAAGGCAGGAGAAUGGCGUGAACCCGGGAGGCGGAGCUUGCAGUGAGCCGAGAUCGCGCCACUGCACUCCAGCCUGGGUGACAGAGCGAGACGCCGUCUCAAAAAAAAAAAAAAAAAUACUAAUGCUUGUGUAAAUUGGGAUGGUGGAAAAUGAGGAAGAGGGCGGCAGGGGAAUCCUUAGUACUUACAGAGAAAACGGAGCAAGUGUACAAGCACGCCAACCCCCCCGGUGCCCAAGCUCGGCGCUCACGCGGCUAGGAUGACGCCCGUGGGACGCCCCAGGGGCCCUGCUCGCAGCCACUCUGCUCAGGGUCAUUUAUAGUCUCUCCGUUCUUUGUUAAAUAAAGACGGUGAGACACGGACGGGCUGGAGCCGGCAGGGGUAGUGGAGGGCAGAGGGGACGGGUCGGGGCGCCCCUCGCUCCUGCCACGCUGCCG